rnacentral:rRNA from 1 species
UACAGAGGUCCCAAGCGUUGUUCGGAUUCAUUGGGCGUAAAGGGCUCGUAGGCGGCCAACUAAGUCGGAUGUGAAAUCCCCAGGCUCAACCUGGGAACUGCAUCCGAUACUGGAUGGCUUGAAUUCGGGAGAGGGAUGCAGAAUUCCAGGUGUAGCGGUGAAAUGCGUAGAUAUCUGGAGGAAUACCGGUGGCGAAGGCGGCAUCCUGGACCGACAUUGACGCUGAGGAGCGAAAGCCAGGGGAGCAAACGGG